UACGAAGGGGGCGAGCGUUGUUCGGAAUUACUGGGCGUAAAGGGCGCGUAGGCGGCCGAUCAAGUCAGAUGUGAAAGUCCUGGGCUUAACCUGGGGACUGCAUUUGAUACUGAUUGGCUUGAAUGCAGGAGAGGAUAGCGGAAUUCCCAGUGUAGAGGUGAAAUUCGUAGAUAUUGGGAAGAACACCGGUGGCGAAGGCGGCUAUCUGGACUGUGGUUGACGCUGAGGCGCGAAAGCGUGGGGAGCAAACAGG
rnacentral:rRNA from 1 species